rnacentral:rRNA from 1 species
CUACGGGGGGCUCCAGUGGGGAAUAUUGGACAAUGGGGGCAACCCUGAUCCAGCCAUGCCGCGUGUGUGAAGAAGGCCUUUUGGUUGUAAAGCACUUUAAGCAGGGAGGAGAGGCUAAUGGUUAAUACCCAUUAGAUUAGACGUUACCUGCAGAAUAAGCACCGGCUAACUCUGUGCCAGCAGCCGCGGUAAUACAGAGGGUGCGAGGGUAAUCGGAAUUACUGGGCGUAAAGCGAGUGUAGGUGGCUCAUUAAGUCACAUGUGAAAUCCCCGGGCUUAACCUGGGAACUGCAUGUGAUACUGGUGGUGCUAGAAUAUGUGAGAGGGAAGUAGAAUUCCAGGUGUAGCGGUGAAAUGCGUAGAGAUCUGGAGGAAUACCGAUGGCGAAGGCAGCUUCCUGGCAUAAUAUUGACACUGAGAAUCGAAAGCGUGGGUAGCAAACAGGAUUAGAUACCCGAGUAGUC